GAUGAACGCUGGCGGCGUGCCUAAUACAUGCAAGUCGAGCGAACGGACGAGAAGCUUGCUUCUCUGAUGUUAGCGGCGGACGGGUGAGUAACACGUGGAUAACCUACCUAUAAGACUGGGAUAACUUCGGGAAACCGGAGCUAAUACCGGAUGAUAUUUUGAAUCGCAUGGUUCAAAAGUGAAAGACGGUCUUGCUGUCACUUAUAGAUGGAUCCGCGCUGCAUUAGCUAGUUGGUAAGGUAACGGCUUACCAAGGCAACGAUGCAUAGCCGACCUGAGAGGGUGAUCGGCCACACUGGAACUGAGACACGAUCCAGACCCCUACGGGAGGCAGCAGUAGGGAAUCUUCCGCAAUGGGCGAAAGCCUGACGGAGCAACGCCGCGUGAGUGAUGAAGGUCUUCGGAUCGUAAAACUCUGUUAUUAGGGAAGAACAUAUGUGUAAGUAACUGCGCACAUCUUGACGGUACCUAAUCAGAAAGCCACGGCUAACUACGUG
rnacentral:rRNA from 1 species